CAAAAUCUGAACUGUCCUGCGAAAAACGGAACAGUUGGGAGGUCUUACCACUGGUAACAUCCUGAUCCUGCCUGUGCUACAUACUGUCAUUGGCCUUCCUUGUUCCCAAUACACAGAAGAUUUCUUGUUGUUAUCUCUCUAAGGAACCACAGAACUGAGCAGGAAAGCUUCAAGAGAUGCUUCCUGCUUCUCUAAUGUACAGGUAUAGGAUCUGUUAUCCGAAAACAUGUUAUCCAGAAAGCUGGAAGAUCAUCUCCCAUGGACUCCAUAUUACUUAAGAAGCCGAUUGGUCGGUGAAACGCAUCGGAAGUGACGUCACAGGCAGGCUACGGGGAGAACACCACGAGGGAGAGAGACGCCAGCACAACCUCCUCCUUUGCAUUACAGCUGGGGAUACCGCCAGCAUAUACUUGCCUAUAUGUGACAACCUUACAAACAAAUGUAUGAAGAUCCAAAUUACGGAAAAAUCCAUUAUCC